AGGCCGUGAUAUAACAUAAAUAUCAUUGUUCAACUAUCCACGCAUUAUAGUAACAUCAUUCAAAAUGAUAUCACAAAAGCUUUUCUUCAUUAAAAUUUUAUAAUUUGCUUUGGCCAAAAGGCCUACAGAAAUGACAUUCAAUAAGAAAUUAGGACAGAAAUAACAAUCACUAAGAACAAUAGAAUGAGCAUUAAAUACAAGCUUGAUAAUUCCUAAAGCUAGA
rnacentral:lncRNA from 1 species